rnacentral:rRNA from 1 species
AAGCAAAAGGAUACUGCCACAAGGGGGGAAACUAAGCGACCUUUUUUUUUUUCAGAAGGCAUCCGGUUUUCAUCAGGUUCCAGGAAGGAAAGGCCGGGAGGGUUUUUCCGUUGAUCAAUAUAAACCAAAAGUACCCCCGCUUAAUGGGGCCCCGCAAUCCAUUGAAUCUUAGCUCGAGGGCGAAUCCCAGGCGGGGGAUUUAGCGCGUUAAGCCCGGAAGGCAAGUUUAAAGGAACAGCCCCCAAAUCCCCAUGGAUUCGGCUUGACCUCCGGGCAACUAAUCCUGUAGCUCCCCAAACUUCGCCGUGCCGUCAAUCUUUUCCAAGUGCCCCUUCGGGCCCCUAAUCCUCCCGAUCUCUAAAAAUUUACCUCAACACGGGAAACCUACCCCCACUACAAGACUCUACCCGAUGUUCAAAUGCAAUCCCAUCUUAAGCCAGCUCUUCACAUUAACUUUCCCACCACCACCCCUCCUACCCCCACCAAGCCGAAUAACCCUAAGGCAUCCCUAAAAUCAAGCACUGCACCAACAAGCCCGUGCGCCUUCGCUUUAAAUCUAACAACGCCAAAAUCUUACCACCACCUAUCCUUCUCCAUACAGUACAUAAAAACCCAAGCUCCUCAAACAACCCCGCAUUCCGCAUCAGUCUUCCCCCCUUGUGCAAGUUCCCCAUGCUUCCCCCAAAGAAGUCUAGACCGUUCCUCAGUUCCAAGCACGCUGUUGAUCGUCCUAGACCACACGGGAUCUUAGCCCCGUGAGACAUUCCGAACCAACUAGCUAAAACUACCCUAGCUCACAGGACGACGCACGCCCAAAGUGUCCUGCCAGACUCUGCCCACACUCAAUCAUGAGCGGGCCUUGUACACACCGCCCAUCACUCCAUGGGAGUGGGUUGCACCAGAAGUAGAUAGCUUAACUUCGGGAGGGCGUAUACACACAAAUAGAUAGCAUCUGCCCC